rnacentral:rRNA from 1 species
UGACCUCGGAUCAGGUAGGGAUACCCGCUGAACUUAAGCAUAUCAAUAAGCGGAGGAAAAGAAACCAACAGGGAUUGCCCUAGUAACGGCGAGUGAAGCGGCAACAGCUCAAAUUUGAAAGCUAGCCUUCGGGUUCGCAUUGUAAUUUGUAGAGGAUGAUUUGGGGAAGCCGCCUGUCUAAGUUCCUUGGAACAGGACGUCAUAGAGGGUGAGAAUCCCGUAUGUGACAGGAAAUGGCACCCUAUGUAAAUCUCCUUCGACGAGUCGAGUUGUUUGGGAAUGCAGCUCUAAAUGGGAGGUAAAUUUCUUCUAAAGCUAAAUAUUGGCGAGAGACCGAUAGCGCACAAGUAGAGUGAUCGAAAGAUGAAAAGCACUUUGGAAAGAGAGUUAAAAAGCACGUGAAAUUGUUGAAAGGGAAGCGCUUGCAAUCAGACUUGUUUAAACUGUUCGGCCGGUCUUCUGACCGGUUUACUCAGUUUGGACAGGCCAGCAUCAGUUUCGGCGGCCGGAUAAAGGCUCUGGGAAUGUGGCCUCCACUUCGGUGGAGGUGUUAUAGCCCAGGGUGUAAUACGGCCAGCCGGGACUGAGGUCCGCGCUUCGGCUAGGAUGCUGGCGUAAUGGUUGUAAGCGACCC